GGGUUGUGAGGUUAAGCGACUAAGCGUACACGGUGGAUGCCCUGGCAGUCAGAGGCGAUGAAGGACGUGCUAAUCUGCGAUAAGCGUCGGUAAGGUGAUAUGAACCGUUAUAACCGGCGAUUUCCGAAUGGGGAAACCCAGUGUGAUUCGUCACACUAUCAUUAACUGAAUCCAUAGGUUAAUGAGGCGAACCGGGGGAACUGAAACAUCUAAGUACCCCGAGGAAAAGAAAUCAACCGAGAUUCCCCCAGUAGCGGCGAGCGAACGGGGAGCAGCCCAGAGCCUGAAUCAGUGUGUGUGUUAGUGGAAGCGUCUGGAAAGGCGUGCGAUACAGGGUGACAGCCCCGUACACAAAAAUGCACAUGCUGUGAGCUCGAUGAGUAGGGCGGGACACGUGGUAUCCUGUCUGAAUAUGGGGGGACCAUCCUCCAAGGCUAAAUACUCCUGACUGACCGAUAGUGAACCAGUACCGUGAGGGAAAGGCGAAAAGAACCCCGGCGAGGGGAGUGAAAAAGAACCUGAAACCGUGUACGUACAAGCAGUGGGAGCCUCUUUAUGGGGUGACUGCGUACCUUUUGUAUAAUGGGUCAGCGACUUAUAUUCUGUAGCAAGGUUAACCGAAUAGGGGAGCCGAAGGGAAACCGAGUCUUAACUGGGCGUUAAGUUGCAGGGUAUAGACCCGAAACCCGGUGAUCUAGCCAUGGGCAGGUUGAAGGUUGGGUAACACUAACUGGAGGACCGAACCGACUAAUGUUGAAAAAUUAGCGGAUGACUUGUGGCUGGGGGUGAAAGGCCAAUCAAACCGGGAGAUAGCUGGUUCUCCCCGAAAGCUAUUUAGGUAGCGCCUCGUGAAUUCAUCUCCGGGGGUAGAGCACUGUUUCGGCAAGGGGGUCAUCCCGACUUACCAACCCGAUGCAAACUGCGAAUACCGGAGAAUGUUAUCACGGGAGACACACGGCGGGUGCUAACGUCCGUCGUGAAGAGGGAAACAACCCAGACCGCCAGCUAAGGUCCCAAAGUCAUGGUUAAGUGGGAAACGAUGUGGGAAGGCCCAGACAGCCAGGAUGUUGGCUUAGAAGCAGCCAUCAUUUAAAGAAAGCGUAAUAGCUCACUGGUCGAGUCGGCCUGCGCGGAAGAUGUAACGGGGCUAAACCAUGCACCGAAGCUGCGGCAGCGACACUAUGUGUUGUUGGGUAGGGGAGCGUUCUGUAAGCCUGUGAAGGUGUGCUGUGAGGCAUGCUGGAGGUAUCAGAAGUGCGAAUGCUGACAUAAGUAACGAUAAAGCGGGUGAAAAGCCCGCUCGCCGGAAGACCAAGGGUUCCUGUCCAACGUUAAUCGGGGCAGGGUGAGUCGACCCCUAAGGCGAGGCCGAAAGGCGUAGUCGAUGGGAAACAGGUUAAUAUUCCUGUACUUGGUGUUACUGCGAAGGGGGGACGGAGAAGGCUAUGUUGGCCGGGCGACGGUUGUCCCGGUUUAAGCGUGUAGGCUGGUUUUCCAGGCAAAUCCGGAAAAUCAAGGCUGAGGCGUGAUGACGAGGCACUACGGUGCUGAAGCAACAAAUGCCCUGCUUCCAGGAAAAGCCUCUAAGCAUCAGGUAACAUCAAAUCGUACCCCAAACCGACACAGGUGGUCAGGUAGAGAAUACCAAGGCGCUUGAGAGAACUCGGGUGAAGGAACUAGGCAAAAUGGUGCCGUAACUUCGGGAGAAGGCACGCUGAUAUGUAGGUGAAGCGACUUGCUCGUGGAGCUGAAAUCAGUCGAAGAUACCAGCUGGCUGCAACUGUUUAUUAAAAACACAGCACUGUGCAAACACGAAAGUGGACGUAUACGGUGUGACGCCUGCCCGGUGCCGGAAGGUUAAUUGAUGGGGUCAGCGCAAGCGAAGCUCUUGAUCGAAGCCCCGGUAAACGGCGGCCGUAACUAUAACGGUCCUAAGGUAGCGAAAUUCCUUGUCGGGUAAGUUCCGACCUGCACGAAUGGCGUAAUGAUGGCCAGGCUGUCUCCACCCGAGACUCAGUGAAAUUGAACUCGCUGUGAAGAUGCAGUGUACCCGCGGCAAGACGGAAAGACCCCGUGAACCUUUACUAUAGCUUGACACUGAACAUUGAGCCUUGAUGUGUAGGAUAGGUGGGAGGCUUUGAAGUGUGGACGCCAGUCUGCAUGGAGCCGACCUUGAAAUACCACCCUUUAAUGUUUGAUGUUCUAACGUAGACCCCUAAUCGGGGUUGCGGACAGUGUCUGGUGGGUAGUUUGACUGGGGCGGUCUCCUCCUAAAGAGUAACGGAGGAGCACGAAGGUUGGCUAAUCCUGGUCGGACAUCAGGAGGUUAGUGCAAUGGCAUAAGCCAGCUUGACUGCGAGCGUGACGGCGCGAGCAGGUGCGAAAGCAGGUCAUAGUGAUCCGGUGGUUCUGAAUGGAAGGGCCAUCGCUCAACGGAUAAAAGGUACUCCGGGGAUAACAGGCUGAUACCGCCCAAGAGUUCAUAUCGACGGCGGUGUUUGGCACCUCGAUGUCGGCUCAUCACAUCCUGGGGCUGAAGUAGGUCCCAAGGGUAUGGCUGUUCGCCAUUUAAAGUGGUACGCGAGCUGGGUUUAGAACGUCGUGAGACAGUUCGGUCCCUAUCUGCCGUGGGCGCUGGAGAACUGAGGGGGGCUGCUCCUAGUACGAGAGGACCGGAGUGGACGCAUCACUGGUGUUCGGGUUGUCAUGCCAAUGGCACUGCCCGGUAGCUAAAUGCGGAAGAGAUAAGUGCUGAAAGCAUCUAAGCACGAAACUUGCCCCGAGAUGAGUUCUCCCUGAGACUUUGAGUCUCCUGAAGGAACGUUGAAGACGACGACGUUGAUAGGCCGGGUGUGUAAGCGCAGCGAUGCGUUGAGCUAACCGGUACUAAUGAACCGUGAGGCUUAACCUUACAACGCCGAAG
rnacentral:rRNA from 1 species